AGAAUUUGAGUUAAUAAAGAUGAAAGGGAUUUUAGGGUAGUUGAGCAUAGAAAAGAGAGUGUUGUGUUGAAACCUAAAGAGUGCAUGUGGAGAUGAUAUGGGCCAGCAAGGCUUGGUUAGAAGAAGAAGAAGAAGAUGGAGAGAGAAAGAGAGAAAGAGAGAGAGAGAGCACAUGGGUGGCACAUGAGGAGAGAGAAUGAGUUGGUUGAUCUUUGAGGAAGAGAAGGCAUGUGAGAAAGGGGGACAGUGAGGCAGCAUCAAAUGUACACCAUGUUCUGCACAUUCCCUGCAUCAAACUGAUCAAAUCUCAGCACACCAAUCUAAUCUUCUCUUUCUCCAUUCUUACACACACAUUCAUUUAAUUACUUUUAAUUUUCAUUUUCUAUACGAAUAUGAUACGAUUAACAA
rnacentral:lncRNA from 1 species